CAUUGGCGGAGACAACACAGACGGAUAGAGUUGAGACGUCUGAGUGUGAGAGGUAAGUGCUGCGGCCUGCUUUCCCGGGUCUGCCUUUUACGUUGUUCGCAGCUCCUUCUGAUGCCUUGCCCUUGCCAUUCUCAGACCCGUAACCUCACUGCACUCAGCUGCGGCCUUUUGCUGGAUUGCCUGCGAUUUCUGACUGUCUGCUUCCCUGCCUGCUGACCGAGAGCAAGUGGCCGACAGCUACGGAAGAUGAAGCUCUCUCUGGUGGCCGCGGUGCUGCUG
rnacentral:other from 1 species